GGGUCCGUAGCGCAACCGGCAAGCGCACUCGACUCUUAAUCGAGGUGGUGAGGGUUCGAGUCCCUCCGGACCUA
rnacentral:tRNA from 1 species